rnacentral:lncRNA from 1 species
AGAAAGCCGUAGGUUUGAUCCCCAGCACUUCUUAAAACCUGGCCAUGGUGGUGCUCGCUGGAAACUGCAUCACUGGGGAGAUAAGAAGCAGGGGGAUCUGAAGUUCACGGCUGUCUUUGGUCACACAGUUCAACACGUGAGCCACCUGCCUCAGAACAACUAAACGGAACUGGAGAUAAGGGUCCCAGGCUGCACAGAAAAUGAUGGACACUCACCAGGAGGGACAGCUCUUCCUACCCUCAGGGCUAACUGACAUUCCUUUGACAAACAGCUGGAGGAAGGGGUUGGCUUUCAGAUGUCUGGGGAGGUGUAUGGAUUAUUCCAGGUGUUUAGUGCCUCAAGGAGCUGGGGCCAGACAAGAGUUCAGAAAGGAUUUCAGGACUGGGAUGCUCCAGGGUCUCACUCCAUCAGGACAUGGAAAAACCAAAACCCUUUCAGGAGGAGAAAGUGGGUGUUGUGAGCCUGGGUGUGUACAAAGGAAGAGGUGAUUUUUUUUUUCAAUAAAAAUAGUUCGGUGUGGACAGAACUGAUUUAAGAACUUGUAUGGCUGGAGGGAAGGCCUGGUAUGGAAGUCUCCAUGAGAUAUUUGCCCUUGUUUGCUAACAUUAUUAUUUUUAUUUUGUCUAGGAUCUUUUAGCCCCAAACACACCCACCACUUGGAGGGAAGCAAAAAUUCCAAAGUACACAGUUUGGGAAACACUGACCAGUAAGAAAGUCUCCAGUUUUGUGCCAGGAGACUGUGAAGAGUCCCUCAUCCUAGCUACCUGGAAGCCAGUAUUCUGCUAGCAUCCUUCAGAUGAAGAUGUAGAACACUCAGCUCCUCCUGCAUCAUGCCUGCCUGGAUGCUGCCAUGUUCCCGCCUUGAUGAUACUAGAUUGAACCUCUGAACCUGUAAGUCAGCCCCAAUUAAAUGAGUGUUGCGUUGGUCAUGGUGUCUGUUCACAGCAGUAAGACCCUAACUAAGACAGUAUUCUUUAUACUGUCAGGCCCAUUCAGUUCAUGGCUUUCCACACAGUUCCAAAAUGGACCCUCCAAUUAUGGACCAGCUCUGGUUUCUG